rnacentral:rRNA from 1 species
GUCCACGCUGUAAACGAUGAGUGCUAGGUGUAGGGGUAUCGACUCCUUCUGUGCCGCAGUUAACGCAUUAAGCACUCCGCCUGGGGAGUACGGCCGCAAGGUUAAAACUCAAAGGAAUUGACGGGGCCCGCACAAGCGGUGGAGUAUGUGGUUUAAUUCGAUGAUACGCGAGAAACCUUACCUGGUCUUGACAUGUAGAGAACCCUUAAGAGAUUAGGGGGUGCCUGCUUGCAGGAGCUCUAACACAGGUGGUGCAUGGUUGUCGU